rnacentral:rRNA from 1 species
UACGUAGGGUGCAAGCGUUAAUCGGAAUUACUGGGCGUAAAGCGUGCGCAGGCGGCUUUGCAAGACAGGUGUGAAAUCCCCGGGCCUAACCUGGGAACUGCAUUUGUGACUGCAUGGCUAGAGUCUGUCAGAGGGGGGUGGAAUUCCACGUGUAGCAGUGAAAUGCGUAGAGAUGUGGAAGAACACCGAUGGCGAAGGCAGCCCCCUGGGAUGAGACUGACGCUCAUGCACGAAAGCGUGGGGAGCAAACAGG